AUAACGACUCUCGGCAACGGAUAUCUCGGCUCUCGCAUCGAUGAAGAACGUAGCGAAAUGCGAUACUUGGUGUGAAUUGCAGAAUCCCGUGAACCAUCGAGUCUUUGAACGCAAGUUGCGCCCAAAGCCAUCAGGCCGAGGGCACGUCUGCCUGGGCGUCACGC
rnacentral:rRNA from 2 species